UACGUAGGGCGCAAGCGUUGUCCGGAAUUAUUGGGCGUAAAGAGCUCGUAGGCGGCUUGUCACGUCGGGGUGUGAAAGCCCGGGGCUUAACCCCGGGUCUGCAUUCGAUACGGGCAGGCUAGAGUGUGGUAGGGGGAGAUCGGAAUUCCUGGUGUAGCGGUGAAAUGCGCAGAUAUCAGGAGGAACACCGGUGGCGAAGGCGGGUCUCUGGGCCGAUAUUGACGCUGAGGAGCGAAAGCGUGGGGAGCGAACAGG
rnacentral:rRNA from 1 species